AACGAACGCUGGCGGCAUGCCUAACACAUGCAAGUCGAACGAGACCUUCGGGUCUAGUGGCGCACGGGUGCGUAACGCGUGGGAACCUGCCCUUAGGUUCGGAAUAACUCCCCGAAAGGGGUGCUAAUACCGGAUAAUGUCUUCGGACCAAAGAUUUAUCGCCUUUGGAUGGGCCCGCGUUGGAUUAGCUAGUUGGUAGGGUAAAAGCCUACCAAGGCGACGAUCCAUAGCUGGUCUGAGAGGAUGAUCAGCCACACUGGGACUGAGACACGGCCCAGACUCCUACGGGAGGCAGCAGUGGGGAAUAUUGGACAAUGGGCGAAAGCCUGAUCCGGCAAUGCCGCGUGAGUGAUGAAGGCCUUAGGGUUGUAAAGCUCUUUUACCCGGGACGAUAAUGACAGUACCGGGAGAAUAAGCUCCGGCUAACUCCGUG
rnacentral:rRNA from 1 species